ensembl:lncRNA
UGCAAAUGACGAAUUAAUGGGUGCAGCAAACCAACAUGGCACAUGUAUAAAUAUGUAACAAACCUGGAUGUUGUGCACAGGUACCCUAGAACUUAAAGUAUAAUAAAUUAAAAAAAAAAAAAAGAAGAAGAAAGUACUCUAGGGAACCCAUUGCUUGUCAACCAUCUGGCACCAAAACCUAAGCUCUGAAUGAUGCCAAAUUACCACCAAAGUCUCUAAGGGACAGAUGCAAAUUCUCUCUCCUGGGACCUAGCACAGUGCUUGCACAGAGCAGGUCCUGACAGGUUUUUGUUGAGUAGAAUUGCAAAGGGAUUAUCAUCGUUAUCAUCCCAUGGAUAACACUGUUUGCUUCUUUGCCUUCAUGGGUUGACUUUUUUUGUGUCCUGGGCCUGAAUUGUCUUCUAAAUACUAGAGCUCUGUGGCCGAUUAUGUUAACAUUCUGAUUUCAUUAACCUAAAUGCAUUUCUAGAUGAAAGCUUUGAUAUGCAGCUUCAACAACUGGUGCCGGUGUGAACUGGCAAGGCCCCAGCGUUACUGUGCUGUCGUCGUCUUUCAUCCCAAAGCCCUUGAGGAGCAGUGAGAACUCAGCGCUGUGGUGAAACAUUUCCUAUGAAUAGUCAUGAGACUUGCUUCCUUCUGGUGCAGAAGAAACUGUUACCAAGCAAGAUAUGCCAUAAACAUUCCGGUCCCUCUCACCAACGUGUCAAGGGACUCAGUUGCUGAGUGCGUCCACUCAAGGAGCAGUGUCAGGAGGAAGCUGAGUCCUGGGCUGGAGCUGCUGCAUCUGUGUGGCUCCCACUGUCAUUUCAGCAGCCCCGACACAGGUGGGGGAAGCUGGCUGGGGUCUGUUUGGAGCAGCAUACUCUUGGGGUGAACAGGGAACAUUUGACUGCCAGGAAAAGGGUGUAAAACACUUUCCCUUGGUAAUUUCUCCAUGAGCACGGGUUAGUCAGAAUCCAUGAGUCCUGCUUAUUCAUUCACACUCGCUAGAAGCUCCUUUGCUAACACAGAAGCAGAGGGAAGGCUGGCCCAUUCCACUUUUGAGGCAAAUAGUAUACUAAAAAAAGAAAAAGUACAAAUGGGCCAGGCACGGUAGCUCAUGCCUGUACUGCCAGCACUUUGGGAGGCUGGGGCGGGUGGAUCACUUGAAGUCAGGAGUUCAAGACCAGCCUGGUCAACGUGGUGAAAUGCCAUCUCUACUAAAAAUAAAAAUUAAAAAAAAUAGCCGGGCAUGAUGGCACAUGCCUGCAAUCCCCGCUACUCGGGAGGCUGAGGCAAGAGAAUUGCUUGAACCUGGGAGGCGGAGGUUGCAGUGAGCCAAGAUCACACCACUGUACUUCAGCCUGGGCCAUCUCAAAAAAAAUUUUUUUAAAAAGUACAAAUGACGAAACAACCUUUUUAAAUUGUGGUACAUUUUAACGUUUAUUUUUAAAAUUAAAACUGUAUAAUGAAUAUUGCCUUUCCCUCCUAUAGGUAUACCUCUGUGUCUGAGUUCAUAACCUCACUUGCAGAUAGCUCAAAAGCCCGUAUUAGAGGCCCUUUAUGAAUCUGGUGACUGGAUCUAUCCCCACCCAUGGCUGGUCCCUUGUUCCCAUCCCCAUCAUGUCCCUGCCAUGUCAUGAUGGUCAGAGGGCUGAACUGUGGCUUAUUACGUAUGUCUUAGACUAAUGCCAGACUAUCCACUUCCUGCGCAACCACGGAGGAGACUCCCUUUGACUUCAAAUUGAGCCUGGAGCUUUGAUCUGCCCUGAGAGGCUCACACUCAGCUGCAGGACUCUGUUCUGGUCUGAAGCAACUCUUCCGGGUUGGGAAAGUCUUUCCUACCCAGCCGACAGUAAACCACGCUAUUUGGCUUGAGUUAUAUCUAUGGUUUCCCCACAUGCACUAGGAUUGUGGGGAACACCCUCUAUGUAUAUGCUUGGACAUGCUCAUCUGCAGCAAUAGGGAAAGAAGAGAUUCCCCAGGGAGCCUCUUUGGCUUGGACACGUGAUAAACUCCUCUAAAGCCACAGAGUCAGGAGUAGGAGGUGCCGUGAUGUCCAAACACAGAAGCACAUGAUUUGAUUUUCAUUGUGAUAAUAUGAGGAACUGCCAGCGCCCUUUUUUUAAAACAACAGAGACCACAAUACGAAUACAUUUACCAGAUUUUGGUUUUAGAGAACAAUGGACCUGAGGGACUCAUUUCUUUGGAAUCUGCUUCUUCUACAGCUUGGAGUUUUGGGGGGACCCAAACUGGGGCCUCCCAUAAGGCCAACCGAUGUCUGAGGCAAAACCUUGCUGGAUUUCCUUUCUAAGACCUUUUCUCUAAGAAUUUCAAAUUUGUUUUGAGAGAGUUAAGGAGUUAGCACUUCCCUGACAACACUGAAGAAAAAAAGGGCUUCCAUUUCUUCUGGAAGUGGAAGAUCUGAGCCCUGUGGCCUGUUCUGCAUCCUUGGUGGUGGACUGAUUCCUACCCCAGCGUUCACAGACAGCUGAAAAUGUGAAGCGAUGCUGAGGAACAGGGAGUGACGCAGUUAGAGCUCGCUAAAGAACUCGGUAACCCAGAAAUUCUUCAUGUGUAAAAAUGCCUACCCGUUCAGAAACAGCAGAUGAGAAGGAGCAGGCAAAAUAACAUAGAGUCUCUAAUAUUGCUAAAGGAAUAAAAAUACUUUUUUCACAUCAAUUUCAUCUUAAUUACAAAGAUGCAUGAAUGUGAUGAUGUAGCUGUUGCUAUUGUGUUUUCUGGCACUCAGCUAUGUUAUUUUGUUUCCUCAUGGGCUUGUAGCAAAGGAAAAAAAUUUUAAAAAAAUUUUAAGUCUAAAGGGGAAAAAAGACACAAGUGGAAGGAACAUUUUUUUCUUCAGACCAGAUCACACUUGCAUUUGAAAAAGUAGCACAUCUCUUAACAUAUUUAUCUUAGGAAGCUUCCACCCCCCAGGAGAAAUGCUAGAAAUUAUGGCUAGUUACUUUGUAUUUAUCUUGGGUGUUAGCUAUUGAAAGAAGAGAAAAUUAUAAUGGCAGUACCUGUCUGUUAUUAAUUACUGAGCUUCAGAAAUCCUGUCACAUGGCUUCUAGUGUCUCCUUCUAAAGGAAAUAAUGACCAUGGCCUCCCCUUCCUUACUUUGCCUUUAAGAAUGAAAAUUCUGGUAUAGCUUUUAUAUUAAUUCUGGGGAAUUUGAUCAUGACUAUAGCAGUUCCUUCACUGCUGUUCCCAUCACCCUCUUUCUCACCAGCUAAGGUGAUUUUCUCCAUCUCCCACCAUCAAGGACAUUGGCAGACUGGGCAAAGUGGUGCACCCUGUAAUCCCAGCACUUUGGGAGGCUGAGGCAGGAGGAUCGCUUGAGCCCAGGAGUUUGAGGCUGCAGUGGGCUGUGAUUGCACUCCAGCCUGGGCCACAGAGAAAGACCCUGUCUCUAAAUAAAUGGAACACUGGCCCUGGUGACUCCUUCAUAUCUAGGAAAAAGAGAUGUUCUGGCAUUUAUUCACUUUAUUUGGCAUGUAUAAAUUCAGUGCCUGGUAUUCUGCUAGGCACUGGGGAUAAAAGAGUGACCAAAAAAGGACAGAGCCCUAUUGUUAAGUGGUAAGAAUCAUACCAAUAAAUAU